rnacentral:tRNA from 1 species
AUGGGGCGUGGCCAAGUGGUAAGGCAACGGGUUUUGGUCCCGCGACUCGGAGGUUCGAAUCCUUCCGUCCCAG